UGCUCGCUUUGGCAGCAAUAUACUAAAACUGGAACGAUACAGAGAAGAUUAGCAUGCCCCCUGCACAAGCAUAACACACAAAUUCGUGACACACUCCAUAUUUCU
rnacentral:snRNA from 1 species